rnacentral:rRNA from 1 species
CUGCCGGUGAUAAACCGGAGGAAGGUGGGGAUGACGUCAAGUCAUCAUGGCCCUUACGAGUAGGGCUACACACGUGCUACAAUGGCAGAUACAAAGAGAAGCGACCUCGCGAGAGCAAGCGGAACUCAUAAAGUCUGUCGUAGUCCGGAUUGGAGUCUGCAACUCGACUCCAUGAAGUCGGAAUCGCUAGUAAUCGUAGAUCAGAAUGCUACGGUGAAUACGUUCCCGGGCCUUGUACACACCGCCCGUCACACCAUGGGAGUGGGUUGCAAAAGAAGUAGGUAGCUUAACCUUCGGGAGGGCGCUUACCACUUUGUGAUUCAUGACUGGGGUGAAGUCGUAACAAGGUAACCGUAGGGGAACCUGCGGUUGGAUCACCUCCUUA